AUUGAACGCUGGCGGCAGGCCUAACACAUGCAAGUCGAACGAGUGGCGGACGGGUGAGUAAUGUCUGGGACACUGCCCGAUGGAGGGGGAUAACUACUGGAAACGGUCGCUAAUACCGCAUACCAUCGGAUGUGCCCAGCUGGGAGUAGCUAGUAGGUGGGGUAAAGGCUCAACUAGGCGACGCUCCCUAGCUGGUCUGAGAGGCUGACCAGCCACACUGGAACUGAGACACGGUCCAGACUCCUAUGGGAUGCAGCAGUGGGGAAUAUUGGACAAUGGGCGCAAGCCUGAGCCAGCCAUGCCGCGUGUGUGAAGAAGGCCUUCGGGUGGUAAAGUACUUUCAGCGAGGAGGCGUUACUCGCAGAAGAAGCACCGGCUAACUCCGUGCCAGCAGCCGCGGUAAUUC
rnacentral:rRNA from 1 species